GACGAACGCUGGCGGCGUGCCUAACACAUGCAAGUCGAGCGAAGAUAUUUCUUCGGGAAUAACUUAGCGUCGGACGGGGGAGUAACACGUGGGGAACCUGCCUUAUAGAGGGGGAUAGCCCUCCGAGAGGAAGAUGAAUACCGCAUAACAUUGAGCUUUCGCAUGUAAGCUGAAUCAAAGAAGUAAUCCGCAGUAAGAUGGUCUCGCGGCGCAUUAGCUAGGUGGCGGGGUAACGGGUCACUAAGGCGACGAUGCGUAGCGGGGCUGAGAGGGUGAUCAGCCACAUUGGGACUGAGAAACGGCCCAGAAUCCUACGGGAGGCAGCAGUGGGGAAUAUUGCACAAUGGGGGAAACCCUGAUGCAGCAACGCCGCGUGAGUGAUGAAGGCCUUCGGGUUGUAAAGCUCUGUUGUUGGGGACGAUAAUGACGGUACCCAAGGAGGAAGCCACGGCUAACUACGUGCCAGCAGCCGCAGUAAAAC
rnacentral:rRNA from 1 species